UGGUGGAGUGAUUUGUCUGGUUAAUUCCGUUAACGAACGAGACCUUAACCUGCUAACUAGUCGUCGUUACCAUCCUAGCGAUUGACUUCUUAGAGGGACUUUAUGUGCAAGCAUAAGGAAGUUUGAGGCAAUAACA
rnacentral:rRNA from 1 species